CAUCAAGAAGCUAAUUUAGCAUUAACCUUUUAAGUUAAAGAUUGAGAGCCAUUAUCCUCUCCUUGAUGG
rnacentral:tRNA from 1 species